ACGUAUUCUAUAAGCAAAACAAAAAAGAACUUAUAGAAGAAAAGGCACACAACAAAACUAGACAAGACAACAUUCAACACACAUACCAGCACCUAGAAUCAAUUAGUGAAGAAAUUGCCUAGACAUUAACGCUACAAACACAUUGCCAUUGGCAAGGCAAUAACAAGUAGGCAAGGUUACCUUGCAAGUGACAUAAUGCAACACUCCAUGCCAGAUUUAUCAGGCUGAGUAUAAAAUUUUAGGACAUUCAAAUUGGUAAAUUAUCAUUCUACAGAGCAUGCAAAACUGAGAUCUCAAUAAAGAAGAAAAAAACAGAGUAUAAAAAGAGCAUAAGCAACAAUAAUAUUUCAGGACUCUUGCACUGCUGUUUACUCGUCAUCCUCAUCAUCAUCGUCAUUUCCAGCAGCUGAAUUCAAAGCAUUCAGUCUCUCAAUCAACUUAGCCUUCCUUUCCUCGUAUGUUAGCUUCUUCAGAUUAUACCUCUUGUGCUGUUUAGGAGGUUGCUUCUCAGAUUUCUUUGGGCUUGGAUCAGCACGAAUGGCAGCAUGAACCUUCUUGUACAUCUCCUCAAGGCCAUCAGCCUCAAAACCCUUUUUGAUGUACUGACUAAAGUGUGUCUGAUAUUUCUCUGGUUCAUCUUCAAUUAGAGUCUGCAUAUAUGUAGCAACGUGGCCACCAUAUAUGUACUUGCGGUGAACAUCAGCAUCAAGUUGCUUGGAAUCCUUGCUGAAUCCAGCGAACCUCUUCUCACUGUGAGGAAUAUCAAGUCCACCAUCCAAUGCACCCUUGAGAGCACCAAACACACGGUUCCCUGUAGUAGUUCUUAAGAGGCCGACGUCCAAGAGAGCACGGAAAGGCCUCCUGCUUUCAGCAGGUUCAACAGAGUAGUCCUCUCCAUUGACAUCAAGAUUUCCUUGAUAUUCUUCAUCCAUUUCAAGCUUCUUGAGAACUCGCCUUGCCAAGAGAAGUCCGGUACAGUAUGCAGCAGCAUAGUUUGUCAAUCCAACUUUCAGUCCAAAAUGAGGCAACUCACUUGCAUAAGCAGAAGCAAGAAUCAUGUCACCAGCAAUACUAGCAGACACAAUUUGUGUAACUAUGUCCUUGUUAGUAAAUCGAACAACGAAACGGUAUUUUGGAGUGUUGUACUUGUUUUUGUCCUGAUUGAUCAAACGAUUCCUGGCUCUGUAGUCAGUCUUUCCCUCUCUCCUUCUCUUGAAUUUAACCUGGAAACGCUUGAAGUAAGCCCUUGUCUUCUGGACUUUGAUGAAGGCCAUUGCUGUUCGUCGAUUAAGCCUCCGCCGGCG
rnacentral:misc_RNA from 1 species